rnacentral:rRNA from 1 species
UACGGGAGGCAGCAGGGGGAAUAUUGCACAAUGGGCGAAAGCCUGAUGCAGCUAUGCCGCGUGUAUGAAGAAGGCCUUAGGGUUGUAAAGUACUUUCAUCGGGGAGGAAAAAACAAAACUAAUAAUUUUAUUUCUUGACGUUACCCGAAAAAGAAGCACCGGCUAACUCCGUGCCAGCAGCCGCGGUAAUACGGAGGGUGCUAGCGUUAAUCAGAAUUACUGGGCGUAAAGAGCACGUAGGUGGUUUUUUUAAAGUCAGAUGUGAAAUCCCUGGGCUUAACCUGGAACUGCAUUUUGAAACUGAAAUACUAGAGUAUCGUAGAGGGAGGUAGAAUUCUAGGUGUAGCGGUGAAAUGCGUAGAUAUCUGGAGGAAUACCUGUGGCGAAAGCGGCCUCCUAAACGAAUACUGACACUGAGGGUGCGAAAGCGU